rnacentral:rRNA from 1 species
UACAGAGGGUGCGAGCGUUGUCCGGAAUCACUGGGCGUAAAGGGCGCGUAGGCGGCUCGGUAAGGUUGCGGUGAAAGCCCGGGGCUCAACUCCGGAAUUGCCUUUAAGACUGCAUCGCUAGAGUUGUGGAGAGGUAAGUGGAAUUCCGAGUGUAGAGGUGAAAUUCGUAGAUAGUUCGGAAGAACACCAGUGGCGAAGGCGACUUACUGGACACAUAUUGACGCUGAGGUGCGAAAGCG